AGCACUAUAUUUAAACCUGUGGAUGAGAAUAUUCCUCAUUCUUGGUUACGCUGUAGUGCAAAAGAAUUCCUGGCUCUCUGUUGCGCAGCUGACUUGUGCCAUUCUGCUGUUGCUGUAUGGAGUUAAGGAACAUGG
ensembl:snoRNA